GGGAGAGCUAGAGAGGAAGGGAUGUAGCUCUCCCCACUUAGAACCAAGCGUCUCCUGCACCAAUAAUGUGAGAACUCGGAAGAAAGCCUCAAUUUCUGCUCCUGUAAGAUGGUUUUCCAGUCUUCAGCACUUGGCUGUUUCCUGCAAUCUGUCAAUGUGCUUCUUACAAUCUGACACCCAGAAGACAGCACCAGAGGUGCUGAGGAUGGAACCCAGUGCCCGUGCACGCCAGGCUCUGCCACUGCCUUACAAACUCUGUCCAGCCAACCCAACAAUGAUGCUAUUUCUUUACAUCUGAGGAAGCCAGCAAUUAGCCUGAGUAGAUCCACGUAGAUGCUGCCAGUUCCUUGUUCAGGACAACAAGAAACUGGAAAGGAUCUCUAGGAGGCAUCUACAGCACACCAGAACCCUGGCAGCGGAACACCAUUUUCUUUUUCAACUGACCUCGUGGACACCAGGAAGUCUCACCCUUACAGAUAAAAGCUAAAG
ensembl:lncRNA